rnacentral:rRNA from 1 species
UACGAAGGGAGCUAGCGUUGUUCGGAAUCACUGGGCGUAAAGCGCACGUAGGCGGAUGUGUCAGUCAGGGGUGAAAUCCCGGAGCUCAACUUCGGAACUGCCUUUGAUACAGCACAUCUGGAGUCCGGAAGAGGUGGGUGGAAUUCCGAGUGUAGAGGUGAAAUUCGUAGAUAUUCGGAGGAACACCAGUGGCGAAGGCGGCUCACUGGUCCGGUACUGACGCUGAGGCGCGAAAGCGUGGGGAGCAAACAGG